UACAGAGGUCCCAAGCGUUGUUCGGAUUCACUGGGCGUAAAGGGUGCGUAGGUGGCUUGGUAAGUUUGAUGUGAAAUCUCCGGGCUUAACCCGGAAAUGGCAUUGAAUACUAUUGAGCUGGAGGUUUGGAGGGGGGACUGGAAUUCUCGGUGUAGCAGUGAAAUGCGUAGAUAUCUGGAGGAACACCGGUGGCGAAGGCGGCAUCCUGGACCAACACUGACGCUGAGGAGCGAAAGCCAGGGGAGCAAACGGG
rnacentral:rRNA from 1 species